AACGAACGCUGGCGGCAUGCCUAACACAUGCAAGUCGAACGAGACCUUCGGGUCUAGUGGCGCACGGGUGGGUAACGCGUGGGAACCUGCCCUUAGGUUUGGAAUAACUCCCCGAAAGGGGUGCUAAUACCGGCUAAUGUCUUCGAACCAAAGAUUUAUCGCCUUUGGAUGGGCCCGCGUUGGAUUAGCUAGUUGGUAGGGUAAAAGCCUACCAAGGCGACGAUCCAUAGCUGGUAUGAGAGGAUGGUCAGCCACACUGGCACUGAGACACGGCCCAGACUCCUACGGGAUGCAGCAGUGGGUAAUAUUGGAAAAUGGGCGAAAGGCUGAAGCAGCAAUGCUGGGUGAGUGAUGAAGGCCUUGGGGUUGUAAAGCUCUUUUACCCGUGAUGAUAAUGACAUUACCGGGAGAAUAAGCUCCGGCUAACUCCGUG
rnacentral:rRNA from 1 species